rnacentral:rRNA from 1 species
GGAUCCAGACUUUGAUUCUGGCUCAGGAUGAACGCUAGCUACAGGCUUAACACAUGCAAGUCGAGGGGAAACGACAUCGAAAGCUUGCUUUUGAUGGGCGUCGACCGGCGCACGGGUGAGUAACGCGUAUCCAACCUGCCCGCCACUUGGGGAUAACCUUGCGAAAGUAAGACUAAUACCCAAUGAUAUCUCUAGAAGACAUCUGAAAGAGAUUAAAGAUUUAUCGGUGAUGGAUGGGGAUGCGUCUGAUUAGCUUGUUGGCGGGGUAACGGCCCACCAAGGCGACGAUCAGUAGGGGUUCUGAGAGGAAGGUCCCCCACAUUGGAACUGAGACACGGUCCAAACUCCUACGGGAGGCAGCAGUGAGGAAUAUUGGUCAAUGGGCGAGAGUCUGAACCAGCCAAGUAGCGUGCAGGAAGACGGCCCUAUGGGUUGUAAACUGCUUUUAUAAGGGAAUAAAGUGAGUCUCGUGAGACUUUUUGCAUGUACCUUAUGAAUAAGGACCGGCUAAUUCCGUGCCAGCAGCCGCGGUAAUACGGAAGGUCCGGGCGUUAUCCGGAUUUAUUGGGUUUAAAGGGAGCGUAGGCCGGAGAUUAAGCGUGUUGUGAAAUGUAGACGCUCAACGUCUGCACUGCAGCGCGAACUGGUUUCCUUGAGUACGCACAAAGUGGGCGGAAUUCGUGGUGUAGCGGUGAAAUGCUUAGAUAUCACGAAGAACUCCGAUUGCGAAGGCAGCUCACCGGAGCGCAACUGACGCUGAAGCUCGAAAGUGCGGGUAUCGAACAGGAUUAGAUACCCUGGUAGUCCGCACGGUAAACGAUGGAUGCCCGCUGUUGGUCUGAAUAGGUCAGCGGCCAAGCGAAAGCAUUAAGCAUCCCACCUGGGGAGUACGCCGGCAACGGUGCAACUCAAAGGAAUUGACGG